rnacentral:rRNA from 1 species
CACGUGGAGGGCAAGCGUUGUCCGGAAUCAUUGGGCGUAAAGCGCGUGUAGGCGGCCCGGUAAGUCCGCUGUGAAAGUCGGGGGCUCAACCCUCGAAUGCCGGUGGAUACUGUCGGGCUAGAGUGCGGGAGAGGCGAGUGGAAUUCCUGGUGUAGCGGUGAAAUGCGCAGAUAUCAGGAGGAACACCGGUGGCGAAGGCGGGUCUCUGGGCCGAUACUGACGCUGAGGAGCGAAAGCGUGGGGAGCGAACAGG